rnacentral:tRNA from 14 species
GGGCCUGUAGCUCAAUGGUCAGAGCCGGCGGCUCAUAACCGCUUGGUUGGGGGUUCGAGUCCCUCCGGGCCCACCA